AGUGAACGCUGGCGGUAGGCCUAACACAUGCGAGUCGAACGGCAGCACAGUAAGAGCUUGCUCUUACGGGUGGCGAGUGGCGGACGGGUGAGGAAUACAUCGGAAUCUACUUUUUCGUGGGGGAUAACGUAGGGAAACUUACGCUAAUACCGCAUACGACCUACGGGUGAAAGCAGUGGAUCUUCGGACCUUGCGCGAUUGAAUGAGCCGAUGUCGGAUUAGCUAGUUGGCGGGGUAAAGGCCCACCAAGGCGACGAUCCGUAGCUGGUCUGAGAGGAUGAUCAGCCACACUGGAACUGAGACACGGUCCAGACUCCUACGGGAGGCAGCAGUGGGGAAUAUUGGACAAUGGGCGCAAGCCUGAUCCAGCCAUACCGCGUGGGUGAAGAAGGCCUUCGGGUUGUAAAGCCCUUUUGUUGGGAAAGAAAAGCAGCAGGUUAAUACCCCGCUGUUCUGACGGUACCCAAAGAAUAAGCACCGGCUAACUUCGUG
rnacentral:rRNA from 1 species